UACGGGGGGGGCAAGCGUUGUACGGAAUUACUGGGCGUAAAGGGCGCGUAGGCGGUUGGAUAAGUCAGCUGUGAAAACCACGGGCUUAACUCGUGGCCUGCAGUUGAGACUGUCUGGCUUGAGUGUGGGAGAGGAGAGUGGAAUUCCUGGUGUAGCGGUGAAAUGCGUAGAUAUCAGGAGGAACACCGGUGGCGAAGGCGGCUCUCUGGACCACAACUGACGCUGAGGCGCGAAAGCUAGGGGAGCAAACAGG
rnacentral:rRNA from 1 species